rnacentral:rRNA from 1 species
GACGAACGCUGGCGGCGUGCUUAACACAUGCAAGUCGAACGGAAAGGCCUGCUUUCCCUUGUGGAUUGCGGGUACUCGAGUGGCGAACGGGUGAGUAACACGUGAGUGAUCUGCCCCCAACUUGGGUAUAAGCCUGGGAAACUGGGUCUAAUUCCCGAUAGGACUGCAGGGUGGUGCCUGUGGUGGAACACGAUUUUCUAGUGGUUGGGGAUGAGCUCGCGGCCUAUCAGCUCGUUGGUGGGGUAAUGGCCUACCAAGGCGGCGACGGGUAGCCGGCCUGAGAGGGUGGACGGCCACAUUGGGACUGAGAUACGGCCCAGACUCCUACGGGAGGCAGCAGUGGGGAAUAUUGCACAAUGGGCGGAAGCCUGAUGCAGCGACGCAGCGUGGGGGAUGACGGCCUUCGGGUUGUAAACUCCUUUCGACCGCGAGGAAGCCACCUGGUUGGAAGGGUGGUGACGGUAGUGGUAGAAGAAGCACCGGCUAACUACGUG